rnacentral:ncRNA from 2 species
AUAAACGCGAUGAAGAGAAGAGUAAAUCCAUGAAUCUUUCGUAGAGAGCCCCGCCGGUGAAAAAGGGUAAAGAAGAUGGAUCGAAACAAGACUCCGAGCAGCGCCAUGGAACUCACCCCGAGGGAUAUGGCGACGGGCACUCCCGUUAUAGAGUUGAGGUAUAGUCCGACUCGUUCGGCAGUACCAAACAAGGUUCGUACGGUGACGUGCGGACGAACAGGGGUGGCACCACGAUGAGAAUCUCGUCCCCAAG